UACGUAGGGUGCGAGCGUUGUCCGGAAUUAUUGGGCGUAAAGAGCUUGUAGGCGGUCUGUCGCGUCUGCUGUGAAAAUCCGGGGCUCAACCCCGGACUUGCAGUGGGUACAGGCAGACUAGAGUGUGGUAGGGGAGACUGGAAUUCCUGGUGUAGCGGUGAAAUGCGCAGAUAUCAGGAGGAACACCGAUGGCGAAGGCAGGUCUCUGGGCCACUACUGACGCUGAGAAGCGAAAGCAUGGGGAGCGAACAGG
rnacentral:rRNA from 1 species